rnacentral:lncRNA from 1 species
GAGUCAGCAUGAGUCAUCUCGUUCCAAUGAGAAUGAAGGCUGAGACAAGCGGUGCCUGAGCCCGUGCCUGUCUUCAGAUCUUCACAGCACAGUUCCUGGGAAGGUGGAGCCACCAGCCUCUCCUUGAAACAGGGUUUUGCCAUGUUGGCCAGACUGGUCUCAAACUCCUGACCUCAGGUGAUCUGCCUGUCUCGGCCUCCCAGAGUGCUGGGAUUAUAGGCGUGAACCACUGUGCUGGGCCCAAAGUGAAACUAUUAUAACAAGAAUAACUGGGAGAUGAAACAGGAAGCUCUAUGACACACUUGAUCGAAUAUGACAGACACCGAAAAUCACGACUCAGCCCCCUCCAGCACCUCUACCUGUUGCCCGCCGAUCACAGCCGGAAUGCAGCUGAAAGAUUCCCUGGGGCCUGGUUCCAACCGCCCACUGUGGACUCUGAGGCCUCUGCAUUUGCGGGUGGUCUGCCUGUGAUAUUUUGGUCAUGGGCUGGUCUGGUCGGUUUCCCAUUUGUCUGGCCAGUCUCUAUGUGUCUUAAUCCCUUGUCCUUCAUUAAAAGCAAAACUAAAGAAAAC